CAGCCGCCGCGGUAAUACGAAGGGUGCAAGCGUUAAUCGGAAUUACUGGGCGUAAAGCGUGCGUAGGCGGUGAGUUAAGUCUGCUGUGAAAUCCCCGGGCUCAACCUGGGAAUGGCAGUGGAUACUGGCUCGCUAGAGUGUGUCAGAGGAUGGUGGACUUCCCGGUGUAGCGGUGAAAUGCGUAGAGAUCGGGAGGAACAUCAGUGGCGAAGGCGGCCAUCUGGGACAACACUGACGCUGAGGCACGAAAGCGUGGGGAGCAAACAGGAUUAGAUACCCCCGUAGUCCCUGUCUCUUAUAC
rnacentral:rRNA from 1 species